CUCCUACCCCCAGGGAGGCUGAAGCCAGCUCUCCAUGGGCACGAAACCUGGAACCCAGGACCCUGGGGGGCAGGGCUAUGCUGGACUAGAGAAGACACAGGUGGCCAAAGCUGGACCCAGCCCUCAGGGAACAGAUAACCUGCGUGAGAAACAAAUAAUUGAUUCUGCCCUUUAUCCCUCCCGGGCCAGCACGGAGGGGUUCAGCCAAUGACUGGGAAUUGAAUGAAAAACCAAAGAGAACAGCCAUGAGAUCUGUCUGCUAUGGGUGGGAAAGCAGAUGGGAGAGUGAGAAGGGCUUCAAGGAGAAGGUGAUAUGUGAACAGGGCAUAAAUGGAUGAAUAGGAGUUUGCCAGGCACAGAAAGGGAAGGACAUUCCAGGGGAAGCAGGCAGAGGCCUGGCAAGGCAAAGGCCAGGAGGAUUGCAAGUAAAGUCAUGGUAUGAGCAGAAAACAAGAGAGGUCCAGUUGCC
rnacentral:lncRNA from 1 species